AACGAACGCUGGCGGCAUGCCUAACACAUGCAAGUCGAACGGGAUCCUAGCUUGCUAGGUGAGAGUGGCGGACGGGUGAGUAACACGUGGGAAUCUGCCUUUUGGUUCGGGAUAACCGCGGGAAACUGCGGCUAAUACCGAAUGCCCUCGAGAGAGGAAAGAUUUAUCGCCAGAAGAGGAGCCCGCGUCCGAUUAGGUAGUUGGUGGGGUAAAGGCCUACCAAGCCGACGAUCGGUAGCUGGUCUGAGAGGAUGAUCAGCCACACUGGGACUGAGAUACGGCCCCAGACUCCUACGGGAGGCAGCAGUGGGGAAUAUUGGACAAUGGGGGCAACCCUGAUCCAGCAAUGCCGCGUGAGUGAUGAAGGCCUUAGGGUGUAAAGGCUCUUUUGCCAGGGAAGAUGAUGACUGUACCUGGAGAAUAAGCCCCGGCUAACUUCGUGCCAGCAGCCA
rnacentral:rRNA from 1 species